rnacentral:rRNA from 1 species
GAUGAACGCUAGCGGCAGGCUUAAUACAUGCAAGUCGAGGGGCAGCACAGUGUAGCAAUACAUGGGUGGCGACCGGCAUACGGGUGCGGAACACGUACGCAAUCUACCUUCAACUGGAGCAUAGCCCCGGGAAACUGGGAUUAAUACUCCAUAAUUUUAUGAGGCGGCAUCACCUUGUAAUUAAAGCUCAGGCGGUUGAAGAUGAGCGUGCGCCUGAUUAGCUAGUUGGCGGGGUAACGGCUCACCAAGGCAACGAUCAGUAACUGGCGUGAGAGCGCGACCAGUCACACGGGCACUGAGACACGGGCCCGACUCCUACGGGAGGCAGCAGUAAGGAAUAUUGGUCAAUGGACGCAAGUCUGAACCAGCCAUGCCUCGUGAAGGAUUAAGGUCCUCUGGAUUGUAAACUUCUUUUAUCUGGGACGAAAAAAGGCGAUUCUUCGUCACUUGACGGUACCAGAUGAAUAAGCACCGGCUAACUCCGUGCCAGCAGCCGCCGUAACAC